GACGAACGCUGGCGGCGUGCUUAACACAUGCAAGUCGAACGGAAAGGCCCUGCUUUUGUGGGGUGCUCGAGUGGCGAACGGGUGAGUAACACGUGAGUAACCUGCCCUUGACUUUGGGAUAACUUCAGGAAACUGGGGCUACUACAGGAUAGGAGCUCCUGCUGCAUGGUGGGGGUUGGAAAGUUUCGGCGGUUGGGGAUGGACUCGCGGCUUAUCAGCUUGUUGGUGGGGUAGUGGCUUACCAAGGAUUUGACGGGUAGCCGGCCUGGGAGGGUGACCGGCCACAUUGGGACUGAGAUACGGCCCAGACUCCUACGGGAGGCAGCAGUGGGGAAUAUUGCACAAUGGGCGGAAGCCUGAUGCAGCAACGCCGCGUGCGGGAUGACGGCCUUCGGGUUGUAAACCGCUUUCGCCUGUGACGAAGCGUGAGUGACGGUAAUGGGUAAAGAAGCACCGGCUAACUACGUG
rnacentral:rRNA from 1 species